AUCGAAUCCCUCGAGCAUCAGAUCCUCCUCCUCAGCCAGCUCCUCCGGCAGCAUGGCCGACCGCAUCUCCCGCCGGUGUUCAAAGUGAUGAUCAUGGAGGUGAAGGUGGUCAUGGUCGUGGUUGUGAUGGUGAUGGUGGUCCUCGCGGUCGGAUCCGGCGGGGGUGGAGAAGGGGCAGGCCGGCGAGUGCUCCCCGUGAGCGGCGACGAGAGGGGCCGCGGCGGCGGAGAUGACGAGAAGGAGGAGGAGGUGGCGCCGCCGGGACGGAAAGGAGGAAAGCAUUUGAUUAGGAGGGGUUUUAACUGGAGGACUGGCGGCAAACGCCCUCGAUGGUGACGAAGAA
rnacentral:lncRNA from 1 species